GGUCGGAGGCGCUCUGAGCUCCAGGAGAGGCUGAGCUCUCUCGGCAGGAGGCGGGGAUUGCGGAAAAGAAGAACCAAUAGGAACAAAGGUUCCCCGCCCCUUUGAUUUGAUGGACUACACAUUCGGGCCAAUGGGGGAAUUCUCAUUUCGAAGAAAGCGGGACUUGUUCUCCGGGUUUGAGAAAGAGGCUGCGCGGAGCCGGAGGGGUCGAGGCUGCGCCGAGUGGAGUGGCUUGGCUUAACAGCAGGGAGGGCAGAGCGAUGCUCUUUGACCUCCCAGAAGAGUCACGUGGGCUGACCCGGAGCCGGGGCGGAAAGGCUGCGUUAGUUUCUUCCGGGUCAUUGACAGAAGCGUCAAUUCCUGGGAGUAGUUCUUUGGUUUUAUUUCCCCUCAUCCUUUUGCCUGCUCCCGGCGAGGGGUGGCUUUGAUUUCGGCGAUGAGCUCCCAGAAAGGCAACGUGGCUCGUUCCAGACCUCAGAAGCACCAGAAUACGUUUAGCUUCAAAAAUGACAAGUUCGAUAAAAGUGUGCAGACCAAGAAAAUUAAUGCAAAACUUCAUGAUGGAGUAUGUCAGCGCUGUAAAGAAGUUCUUGAGUGGCGUGUAAAAUACAGCAAAUACAAACCAUUAUCAAAACCUAAAAAAUGUGUUAAAUGUUUACAAAAGACAGUGAAGGAUUCUUAUCACAUAAUGUGUAGGCCAUGUGCCUGUGAACUUGAAGUUUGUGCAAAAUGUGGAAAGAAAGAAGACAUUGUUAUUCCGUUGAAUAAAGAAACAGAAAAAAUAGAACAUACUGAAAAUAAUCUAAGUUCCAACCAUAGAAGAAGCUGCAGAAGAAAUGAAGAAAGUGAUGAUGAUUUAGAUUUUGAUAUUGAUUUAGAAGACACAGGAGGAGACCAUGAAAUGAAUUAAUAUCACUGUGUUAAAAGUCUGCCGGGCACAGUGGCUCACGCCUGUAAUCCCAACACUUUGGGAGGCCAAGGCGGGUGGAUCACCUGAGGUCAGGAGUUCGAGACCAGCCUGGCCAACAUGGCGAAACCCCAUCUCCACUAAAAGUACAAAAAAUUAGCUGGGCGUGGUGGCUCAUGCCUGUGAUCCCAGCUACUCGGGAGGCUGAGGCAGGAGGAUUGCUCGAACCCUGGAGGUGGAGAUUGAAGUGAGCUGAGUUCGUGCCAUUACACUCCAGCCUGGGUGACAGAGUGAGACUCUGUGUCAAAAAAAAUAAAAUAGAAAGUCAAUUUAGAAUGUGAAAUUCUGACCACCUUUUUUGGCUUUGAGUAUUUUCCAAAAGAUGUUUGAAAUCCUAAUGAGGAAAUCAGAAAAAGAUGGGGUCUCCCUCUGUUGCCCAGGCUGGAGUGCAGUGGCAGGAUCUUGGCUCACCACAACCUCCGCCUCCCUGGUUCAAGUGAUUCUCCUGCCUCAGCCUCUCGAGUAGCUGGGACUACAGGCGCACACCACCAUGCCCGGCUAAUCUUUGUAUUUUUAUUAGAGAUGGGGUUUCACUAUGUUGGCCAGGCCGGUCUCGAACUCCUGACCUCAUGAUCUGCCUGCCUCAACCUCCCAAAGUGCUGGAAUUACAGGUGUGAGCCAUCAUGCCUGGCCUAAUUUGUAUAUUUCUAAUGACUCAUGAUGUUGACUGAGCAUCUUUUCUUUUUUUUUUUUUUUUCCUUGUUUUUUGAGAUGGAGUCUUGCUCUAUAGCCCGGGCUGGAGUGCAGUGGUGCCAUUUCAGCUCAAUGCAACCUCUGCCUCCUAGGUUCAAGUGAUUCUCCUGCCUCAGCCUCCCGAGUAGCUGGGAUUACAGGCACACACCACCAUGCCCAGCUAAUUUUUGUAUUUUUAGUAGAAACAGGUUUUCACAAUGUUGGCCAGGAUGGUCUCCACCUACUGACCUUGUGAUCCGCCCCCCUAGGCCUCCCAAAGUGCUGGGCUUACAGGCGUGAGCCACCGCACCCAGCCGACUGAACAUCUUUUCAUGUGUUUAUUAGCCAAUCCUAUAUCUUCACUGGUGAAAUGUCUAUUCAGAUGUGUUGCCCAUUUUAAAAAUUGGGUUGUUUUCUUACCAUUGAGUUAUGAGUCUUUUAUAUAUAUUCUAGAUACAAGUCCUUUAUCAGAUAUAAUUUGGAAAUAUUUUCUCACAGUCUGUAAUGUGUUAUACAUCAAUUUUAAGAUAUCCUUCACGUUAAGAAACUAACGGUGUGGAUAAUAAUCCUGGUAUUGACAGAGGUUUGGACUCCUGAAGCCUGAAAGACUAUCUGCUGCCACGCCUGGGCACAUACUGCAUCAUUUACAAAACUGUAGAGCACCUGUUGUGUGUGCAGUUGUGAUUUCUUAUAGAUUUUUAGAAUUGGAAGGCAUGUAAAGAACACAUAAUCUCUGGUACAUUGCCUCAGUAGGUAAGUCAGUAUGAACUUCUAAGAAUUUUUGUUUUCUUCUGUAUUGGGUCUAUUGUGGGUAUGUCCAACGUGACAGGGGAGGUAAGGGAAGUGGCAUCCCCUAAGAUAGUGACUGAAAUGGCUUUCAUCAUCUUUAAGUCAAAGUGAGAUGCCAGUAAUAGGAUAUAUGUAUGUAUGUACUUGUGUCUCUGUAUGUAUGUAAAUAAACAAACAUGCUGGAAGGAGGAGGUGAUUCAAUCAGGGACUUUGUGAAAGAAAAAAAGAAUAACUGGACCUUCUUUUAAUGAUGAAAACUGUUUAUACAGCAAACCAUCAAAGCCAAAAUGUGAAUUUUGGUAUUAGCCCGAUUUUUCCUAAGAAACUGUUGAUGUAACCACUGUAGUUGCAGAGAUUGUUUUGGUAUAUUCUAGACCCUCUUUGUUUUGUUCUGUUUGGGGUUUCUUCCCCCUCAAGUUGCUCUUGUCCACCGCUAGACUGGCUGCCUUUUAUUCCAUAGCAGACAGUCCUUAAGUCUUUGCAUAUGUCCUUAUUCAAAAAUUAAUCUUCAUCAAUUUUUUUCUGCAGAAAACAGUUUUUUAAAUAUCUUACAUGAGAAUGCUCUGCACCUGCAAUCUCUGGUUGAUGCAGUUUCCUUUCUCUCUUCUCUGUUCCCAUUGGUAGAAUAAAUCAGUUCCUUCUUAAAUCCUGAGCUGAAAAUGUCCACACUUCCCAGAAGUGUACUUUAGAAUCACCUGUAACAUGUAUUUAAAAUACAGAUUCCCCAGCUCCACGGGCAAAGCUCUCCUGCCAUGUGACACCCUGAUACAGUUCAAGGAGCCACUAAGGCAGGCCAAAAUGGCUCAGCAGGCAAAGGUCCAAGCUGCCAGGGUAUUGUGCCAUUACAGCAUGCUUAGCAUAGCUUGGAGGACAGGCUCACACCCAGCCCCACAGCUGUUGCGCUACAGACUCAGGCACAGGGCUGUCUAACUGGCAGAUGUGGGCCACAACUGUUGGAGACAAGCCAGCCAUAUUUGGGAAAAUCUUAUUGUAAGGGGCAAGUGUGAGUGAGAUUUAGGAGUCAUGGGAAAAUAUAGCAACACAGUAAAUCUUGUGUUAUAGGAGAGAUGUGGAAGAAAGAGAUAAACUACUGGCCAGGGUGUCUCCUGACUGGGUGACUUGCCACCACAUGGGCCAGGCAUGUUGCGGCAGCUCUGCCUUUGGGAGGUGGCUGGAGGAGGGGAGGAGAGAGAGGCAUGAUGAAGACAGAUGCACCCUUUCCUGAGCAGGGGUUAACAUUCAGGGUGCCGAAAGGAAUUCCACAGCCUGUUUCCCAUCUCUCUUGUCCUCAUCAAGUACUGGUCCUCGUGUAUGUGUUCUGCUUCCGCUUUCUCAGGAUGUUUACGUUUUUGCAAAUACAUUUAUGGAAAAGAGUUAGCUCACCCACCUCUCCAAACAUCUAUUUGUUUUACAUUUUUAUUGCGGGGGAGUGAUCUGUUAACAUAGCUUCAAAUGGCAUAACAUUCAGCAGUAUCCAAGCUUAGAUAUAUCUGAUGAGAGGAAAGUAAUUGUGAGGCCUUUGUUCUAGUUACAACUUUGUCACUACCUGACUCCAUGACUCCAGCAAAUUGCUUCAACUGUCUGGCCUGCAGUUUUUUUCUUGCGUUAAAUAACAGACUUAGUCUAGAUCAGUGGUUCUUAUCAUGUGGUUUCUGGACUAGCAGCAUCAAUAUUACCUGGGAAACUUGUUAGAAAUGCAAAUUCUUGGGCUCUGCCCUAGACCUACUGAAACAUACUCUGUGGGCGGGGCCCAGCAAUCUGUGUUUGAAACGCGAUUCUGAUUAUUUGACAAAAGUUUGCAAACCACUGGUCUAGAUAAGUAGCUCUUAGCCUUGGCUGCACAUUAAAAUCAUCUGGGCAACUUUUAUAACCUACCAAUCCUGGCCUCUUCCUCCAAAGAUUCUGACUUAAGUGGUUUCAGAUGGGGACCAUUGUUAUGUGGUUAUAGCCGACGUCUAGGUGCUAUCUGAGGUCUUCAAAACUAAAGGUCAGUGUUUCCCAGCCGUAAAUGCAUACCUCUAGACCUGGCCUUCUCAAGCCACUAGGUGUUGCUAUAAUAGAGAAGAAAAGGCAUUUUCAGAACCGUCUCUGGAUAUGGAUGAGGAGGAGGAAAAUGUAUUUCUUAGCUUCUGAUAAGAGAUUAUUUUGUUAUUUUAAUCUGAGUGCAAUUUGCUAAAUAUUCAUUUGCAACUUGUUAAAUUUAUUCAAAGAAAUUAAAUGCCCAUAAAUGACAGAAAGAAUAAAGAAUUGUGAUAUAUAUUUACAAUAAAAUACUCUUUAGCAAUAAAAAGAAAUAAA